GUUUUUACAUCGUUUUCCAGUACGAAACAUAUGGCAACUGAAGUUUCAAAAUGUACAAUAGGUACAAUAUAAAAAAAAACUUUCAUGAAUAAAAAAAACAAAACAUGCGUCAACACUCACAUUUGUUGAUUCGUUUUUCAACCCUCCAAUCACAGAAUUAAGGCGAUCUGGGUGUUUGCGAAGCAAUUGGCCGAACUGUCCGUCGGGCUCCAAUGACUUGUUUGGCAGGUUGGAGACGGUAGGGCUCGCUUUCAACCGACUCCGGGCGACCACCAGGGUCUGGUAGAAAAGGCAUAAAGCAACUCCUACAAGCAGCACUGAACGCGGACAACACCGGCGGCGGAGCGCCCGAAGCAGCCAACGGAACAUCCCCGCUUCUCCUUCGGCUUUGAAGACUCUGGGCAAGAGGAAGACCAUUUGGAAUGUUCGCUUCGACCCCGCAUCCCACACCAACGCAGUGCGAAAGCAGCACUUUGAAACCGUUAAAAAAAGAAAUAGCGGACCUAUUUGGACAAACAGCGCAAUUCUGAAAGAAUCUUUGAAGAUGCUCUGGUCUGUUCUUGUGGACUUGCCUCUUCAGACAUGCCAGGCCUGGAGACUGAGAUGGCCAUUGCAAGAGUCAUUUUGUGGUUAGGUGUUCUCUUGGUCGAUUUUGAGGUACACUUAUUUUCUUUUAUCAAAAAUUAAAACUGUUGAAAAUAUCAACUGUCA